ACCAGCCCACAGAUCCCUUGAUUAUAGAGCUUUGGGCUUUAAAACGGACUGUUUGAUUAUCUCCCCAAGAGACUGCAGGCUCCGGGAAAGAAGAACUCAAGUGUCUGCGGCUCACCUCCCAAAGGGAGCAGUAUCUCUACCUGCUGCCCCAUCCGGCUCCGUCCGUGAGAAAGCAGAUGGAGGAGGGUUGCUGGGUCAGCCGUCAGGUGCGACCCCACGCCUCUGCAGGGCUCCCCCCUCGUUGCCAGCAUCCUGGCAUGUGGAACACGGUGCAGGGAUUCAGAUGCACCGUGGCUUACGUUCCGGGGACACGAACCAAGGGACUCGAACACAGGUAGCAGUGCCGCUUGAGGAUGUCAGGGCAGGGCUGACAGCCUUUCAUAAGUCAAGGAUUCAGCAGUGUCUAUCACAAACCUUUCCUUCUCUCUGGUUGCCUGAGAUUUUUGUCACGAGACGUCUGGGAUCCUGAUGAGUCACUAGGGACGUGAAAUCAUAACUAGAAGAAACGCCACCAAUGAAACAAUGUGUCACAGCUCAGCGUA